GAUGAACGCUAGCGACAGGCCUAACACAUGCAAGUCGAGGGGUAACAAGUAAAAAGCUUGCUUUUUAUGUUGACGACCGGCGCACGGGUGAGUAACACGUAUGCAACCUGCCUUUUACAGGGGAAUAGCCCAGAGAAAUUUGGAUUAAUGCCCCAUAAUAUUUAUCAUUCGCAUGUUUGAUAAAUUAAAGCUCCGGCGGUAAAAGAUGGGCAUGCGUUCUAUUAGUUAGUUGGUGAGGUAACGGCUCACCAAGGCGACGAUAGAUAGGGGUUCUGAGAGGAUAGUCCCCCACACUGGUACUGAGACACGGACCAG
rnacentral:rRNA from 1 species